GGCCGGGGUGGCCGAGUGGUUCUAGGCGCUACGGUUUGAAACCGCUAGAGUCGCAGGUUCGAAUCCUGCCUCGGCCA